UCUGGGAGGCAUCCCUGGUGAUUCGUCGUGU
rnacentral:piRNA from 1 species